GAAAACAUAGAUGCCAGGCCGGGGUGGCGGAAUUGGCAGACGCACAGGACUUAAAAUCCUGCGGUGGGUUUCCACCGUGCCGGUUC
rnacentral:tRNA from 1 species